rnacentral:misc_RNA from 1 species
GUAGGUGAACCUGCGGAAGGAUCAUUAAUGAGUUAGGGUCUCCGGGCCCGAACCUCCAACCCUUUGUCGUCACAAAACCACUUUGUUGCUUUGGCGGGACCGCCGGCCCCCCUUCGCGGGGGGGCCGGCUGCCGGUCUCAGGCCCGGCAUGCGCCCGCCAGAGGAAAACCAAACUCUUGUUUUAACCGUACGUCCGAGUAAAAAUGAUUAAAUCAAUCAAAACUUUCAACAACGGAUCUCUUGGUUCUG